GUGGGCUUCAAAGAAUUUACAGAGCAGUGAAUCUAGCAAAGUUAAUUGAGAGAUUGGCCAAGUCAUACAGAUCUCAGAGAUAGUAACACUGUUUUUGUUAUCUAAUGACACAUGCAUUCUUGUUUUUAUUAGAAAAAAGCACUGGCAUAGAGUGAAUGCAUUCUGAUCCAUCAUACUUACUCAGUUACUCUAAUAAGUAUUUCAAGAGAAACCAGGUGAACACUAAUCAAACAAGAAUGGUGAGAGAUGCUUUCUGUUCCAUCAUCAAAUAAAUGAAUGAAAACACUGU
rnacentral:lncRNA from 1 species